CACAGACACACAGAUACACACGAGCACACACAGAUACACACAAAUGAGCGCACACACACACACACGUGAUUCUUAGAACCCGAGCCUGCUCACACAUGCCCAGAUCCUUCACUUCAUGGGCCAUGGCUAGGAUAAGGUAGUGGGUGCAGGCGGGGACCUGGCAGUGGAUCUGCUUCCCUAGUGGUACUGAGGGUCAAAGGCCACAGAGGGUCACUGAGCUACGGAGGGUGUGAAGUUGGGAGUGAUGGACAGUUCUGUUUCCCUGGAUUCCCCCCACCCUCUUUCCAUCUGUUUUGUCUCUUUCCCUCCCUGGAAGAGCUGGAAAAACAGGCUGCAUCUCUAUUUCCCACACAAGGGAAGGAGAAGGGGAUGUGACAGGUGUGUCUCCAGCACUCAGACUGUUCAGCAAAUAUUGGCUGGAGGGAAGGAUGGAGUUAGCUCUCAAGAGGUACUUUCCAGGGGAGGCCACAGAAGCCAAGAGAUAUGGAAAGGAAAUGGCACAUCCUUUCCCCCCAGGAUGCAUAACUGGGGGGGCAGUCUGAGAGUCUUUAUUCUUGUCCUCACCCUCCCCCCACCCAGGCCUGGGACAAGCUGCAAGGAUGGCUGAGAGGAAGACAAAGAGCUCUGACCUUGCAGGAGGGAGGCCACAUUAGAGGCCACGCUGCCUCCCUAGGCACACUCGGUGGGGUCAGGCCGGGUCCUCCAUGCUGAUGGCUGCCUGCCCUUGCCUGUUGCCCCUUGCCCCCCUCCUCAGGGUUUACUUCCAGCCCAGGCCCAGCAGACCCUGAUCCACCCUGAUGCCCUGUGGCACUGUUCCUGUGAUUUCUCCUGGGAGACACGAGUGAGAAGAAAUGCAUGCAUCUUCAGCAAGGAGGAGGGGGACUACCGGGGAGGAAGUGACCUCCUAGUGACCAGAGGAGGUGCCUCGGGAUCUGCCCCACAAACAGCUUGAUGGCAUCCGGUUCCUUCAUCGGGGCGGCCCAGGAGAAGGGGCCGAGG